ACCUUCGGGGAACGAUAACGGCGUCGAGCGGCGGACGGGUGAGUAAUGCCUAGGAAAUUGCCCUGAUGUGGGGGAUAACCAUUGGAAACGAUGGCUAAUACCGCAUAAUGCCUACGGGUCAAAGAGGGGGACCUUCGGGCCUCUCGCGUCAGGAUAUGCCUAGGUGGGAUUAGCUAGUUGGUGAGGUAAUGGCUCACCAAGGCGACGAUCCCUAGCUGGUCUGAGAGGAUGAUCAGCCACACUGGAACUGAGACACGGUCCAGACUCCUACGGGAGGCAGCAGUGGGGAAUAUUGCACAAUGGGCGCAAGCCUGAUGCAGCCAUGCCGCGUGUGUGAAGAAGGCCUUCGGGUUGUAAAGCACUUUCAGUCGUGAGGAAGGUAGUGUAGUUAAUAGCUGCAUUAUUUGACGUUAGCGACAGAAGAAGCACCGGCUAACUCCGUGCCAGCAGCCGCGGUAAUACGGAGGGUGCGAGCGUUAAUCGGAAUUACUGGGCGUAAAGCGCAUGCAGGUGGUUUGUUAAGUCAGAUGUGAAAGCCCGGGGCUCAACCUCGGAAUAGCAUUUGAAACUGGCAGACUAGA
rnacentral:rRNA from 1 species